rnacentral:lncRNA from 1 species
UUCAUAAUAAAUAAAAAUCAUUCAAUACAUAAGUGCAACAAGAUAUUUAAUCCACACUUUAAAUAUGAAUAUUCCCAAUAACAAGAUUCAAGUGUUGAAAAAAACACUACACACUUAACAAAGCAAUGAAAUGACGAAAUGAACAUGAAUGGGUAAGCAAUUCUCAACCAAAAGCUUCAAAUCUUCAAGACCCAAGUGUGUGUGCAAGAACCCUAGCUCCAAAACUUGUGUUCUCUUGUCAAGAUAUGUCAAAGAUGUCCAGAGAUUGGCCAAAUAUGUGCAUCCAAUAAGCUAGGUCAUGUAUUAAAGGGUUUGGGGCUAAAGGAUGUGAAAUUACAGAAGAGCCCAGAACGGAAGCGCGAUCUUCGCAUUUGCUAAGCUAUGUUCGCAUUUGUGAAACAUCACUUUCCUGUUGACUAUCGCAUUUGCGAUGAAAUGUUCGCAUUUGCGAACGUUGACUUUCUUGGUUGACUUCGCAUUUGUGAUGAAAUGUUCGCAUUUGCGACCCUUGAGGCCAAUUUCCAGAUUUCUGCUUUUGAGCCCCUUUGACUUUUUUUUGCUUGGUUUCUUCCCGAUCACUUCUAAAUCCCAUAAAACCUGUAAAGUAGAAGUAAACGACAUUAAACACACUAUUUUGUCUACCAAACAUAGUAAAAAUCUAAGAUUAAAGAUGAGAUAAGUUGGUAAAUUACCAACUUAUCACUCGGCAGUUUAUUAAAUUUCUCUUAUGGGAUCGGGUUGUUCGCCUCGGCAAUAUGGUAACAUUAUUCUUAUGGGAUCGAGAUGUUUUCCUCAGCAAUACUGAGUACCACUAUUACUAUGGGAUCGGGUCGUUCAUCUCUGCAGAUUCGUGCUUAAUACUUGAGACUGGAUUUGGUUUGGUAACAGUUGAGCUAGCACCUUCAAGGUCGGUUAUGACAUGUUUAGUGAUUUUAUAUAGAAUCAUGUGGGGAAUUGUUGUACAUCCUCCAUGUCUACUUUAUCUAUUUCUAUUACUGUUUGACCACUAGUAAGUGUUAAGUCGACCCCUCGACACUACUUCUUCGAGGUUAGACUAGAUACUUACUAGGUACAUACUGUUUUACGUACUCAUACUACACUUCUGUACUGAAUGUGAAGGUACUGAGACAGGUACUACCAGUGGUCACACGGGCAUGUAGCCGCACUUCUAUGGAGACUUAGUGGUGAGCUGCUUGCCUUGCUUCGAUCUGCAGCACUGGAGUCCCCCUCUGCCUUGUUUACUAUUUAUGUCUAUUGUACUUCAGACAGUAGUGGUAUUAGUUUUGUAUAUUCUCUAGAUUGCUCAUGCACUUGUGGCACCGUGUUUUGGGGGCUUCUAGCAUUUAUGUAUUGUUGUACUUAUUAUUACUAUCACUAUGGUUUAUGUAUUUCUCACGCUUGAUAUUUUGAGAAAAGAGUAUGUACAAUUGCAUGUGAUCUUACCUAUUUCGGUGUUUUAAAAAGGAAACUUAUGUUUUAAACGUUAAAAUGGAUAACUAAAUUGGAGGUUCACUAGUGGGCUUGCCUAACGACGGCAUUAGGUGCCAUUGCGACCUAUUACAGGUUUUGGGUCGUGACAUCAUAAGAUUUAGAGCUGGUUCAUGUGGAACUUGAAGCAGAAGGAUAGGUGGGCAUAUUAUCGAAGGAUAUUAUUUCUAAGGUACGAACCUCGGUAAUGCAGUCCUCUCUAUUCUCAAUGCCGGUUUUGACGUCCUCCUCAGUUUUUCUUCACAUGCUAUAGACAACAUGAGUCUUCAAGCAUAAAUUACUCCUCUAGAGCUCAGAAUCUUUCCCGGAGCUCUUGGACUUUCGACUGCAUUCGCUCAUUUUUUACCUUCAAAAUCCCAUAAGUCUCUACCGGGUCAGAAUUAGUCUUUGCAUCCUCCUGGUUUUGAUCCAUGACCUUUUAGAGCCUUUUCUCCAUUUUGGCCCUUUUCUCUUCGGCCGUGAUAGCUUCCUCGGUCUUAGAAUGCAAGUCUUUUCCAAGGCCCAGAUCGUUUCCAUGGAAGGUGACUCCCGUUCAGCAGCCGAAGUAAGAGCAUCUUAUAGCUCUGCCCACUUUCCCUUCAGCUCGGCAAGUUCAUCAUGAAGCAUGUGUUUUCUUGGUUGUAAGCUCUUUUUCUUUCUCUAUUUGCUCCAACUGGGCCUCAAGCUCUUCCAUUUGAGAAAGUUUGGCCUCUAAGGCCGAAAGACACUCAGUAAGUUGAUCACUCUCAUAUUGAAGUUCUCCCUUCUCCAAAAACAUCCUUUGGAGACCCUCAGAAGUAAGAAUAUUGGCCUAAAAGAUAAAGUUCAAAGUAAGCAGGGAAAAAGGUACCAAAAAAAAGGCAAACAGUACAUGAGUAAAGAGAUACAUGCUAUUGUUGAUAAGACACUCAGCGGAAAGAGCAUUCAUUUUCUUCCAGUCCUUCUAAGUAGCCAAGGGUUUCCUAUAAUAUUUCUACCCAGCCAUCUUAGAGAGAAUGUGACAUUCAUCCGGAAUCGUAAUGGUAAUACUAAGUUUACCAUUAGGGUCCCUGAUUGGAUCUGGAAAAGUGCUCUCCAUGUUCCCGUUAUCUGGUGACCGAGAAGGGGGGUUAGAGAACGAAUACCUUGCCUCGAUCUACAGUGAAUGAUGUUGGAGCAGAGGUUGGGACAAUACUUGAAGUAUCACCCCUUUGACCGGUAAUAGCAAUGGGAACCCAAAAGGGAGAGUCGACCAUUUCAGCUAAAUCAAACUAUUAAAAGAGUCUCUCCGUCUCCUCUGGAUGGACUGUUUUGGUUCUUUUUUUUCUUUUUCUUUGAAGAGCUAUUGUUUCAACGUCAACUUCAAUUUCUUUUUCUUUAAGGACCAAUGUAUCCAGCUAUGCAGUGAUCUCUUUUUUAUAAUGGAGGCUAUCUUUUCUCCCCCAUUUUGGAAUAUUUUCUUCUAGCCUUCUUCUCCAGAGGCCAGGGACUGGCGGAUGAUGCAGCUCCACCGGAAGAAGAUUCCGCUUCACAAGCUCCUUUUUCCGUCAAGGACUUGUUGAAGUUGUUGUUGAGUCACCUUCGGGUCAAAUGAAAUCUCGACGACCAAGCAAACAGAUGAUCCCUUGGGAAGAACUAAAAAUGGAAAACAAAAUGCAAAGAUCACAAGUCUAUUGCAAAAGAAGGUACACACUAACGAGGAGGUUGAAUGAAGGUAAUCUCACCAUGAUUCUUACACUUCUAAUUUUUCUUUAUUGAAAUUUCUUUCCACGUACGGAUUUUCGGUAUGAAAAUAUCCAAAAGAAAAAUCUAAACCCACUGUGGUAAGUCUUCAACUACUAAAGGGACCCAAUUGGUAGCUAAAAACAAGAAGAGAACGAAGUUUAAAGAGCAUGAAAAUAUCUAAGAAAAAGAACAUGCAGAUAAGAGAACGUACGAGUAUAGUUCCAUGUCUCAGGAAUUGAAGGUCCUGGUGAGGGUAUGAUGUCCUUGGAAGCGAUGGAAAUAAACGUUUUCAUCCAACCACGGUCAUUUUCAUCACCCAAACUGGUGAUGAUGGCAUUAUGACCACCCUUGCUGAGUUUGACCAUGCCUCCUCGGAAGAUCUUGGGAGAGUAGAGAUGGAUCACGUGUGCAAAGGAGAGAUUUUUUUGUGUGCGGGAGGUCAGAUACCGGAGGCAAGCUACUGUAUGUCAUACUGCCACACCCACUUGAGCUAAGCAGACUUGGUAACUCCAGCAAAACUCAAGGAUGACUGGAUCAAUUUCGUGCCUGAGCCUGAGUGUGAAAGGAUAAGUAAAUGUAUACGCUGAUUUACUGAAGGUCACCCUCUCCACGUCUAGAGGGGCCAACACUUUCAUAUCUUUCUAACCAAAAUCCUAUUUCACAAUAUGAAUGUUGGCCAGUCGAAUAGAAGAAGGGUACUCGCCGAUCGCUUUGUCCCGGUCAUUUUUUUAGGUUUGAGGAAGUGCCCUGGAUUUGGAGAUCCUUAUAAAAAGACCCUUCUUUAGGAAUGAUCGUGUUCAUGGUGGGGUGCAAUGUCAGUCUUUUUGGGUUUAUUCUUCUUGGAAGGGCCUCCACUGAUGUAAAUCCUGACGUCGGCACUUGUUGAAAGUGGGUUAGUCAUGACCACCAUGGAAUCACCUUGGUUGACGAUAGCAGACGGGUUAUCAGUGGUGGAAAUUGGAGUGCAUGGAGAAGACAUGGUGAAAUAGAUUUAAGUUUAACGGAAAAGAUGGAAAAAUUAUUUCUGGUAAUCGGAAGUUCUGCUAUAAGGAAAAAAUAGAUUGCAGAGAUUUAAAGUGUAUUGAAAGAAUUUGUAAAAAAGUAAAGUAAAAUGUGAAAAGAGUGGUAAGUUUAUAGAUGGUCUUCGAACCAAAGUCAUCAUUACCUCUGUAAAUUGCAAAACUGCUCGUCGAAUCACAAAGAGGAACGUGUCAGGAUCAAUAAAUGCAAAGUGAUGUGCAUCCUUUUGAAUGUCAGAAGCCGUUCAAUAACUUUUCCACCAAGAAAUGAGAUAUCUUAUCUAUUUUACGGUCAAAUAAAGUUGAGUCACCGGUAAAUAGGAAAAAUAUCUAUAUUGGGUAAAAUUUAGAGUCUAGAGGUGGAAACCUCAUGAGCAGACACGUGGCAAUGAUGACAGGAUGUAAGUGUGUCGCCAGCCAAAUAAUAUCAGAUAGAGUAAUGUGAUCGGGAUUAUAUAUAAAUUAGCAUAAUGACUCGAUCGAUCCUUUUUAGCAUUUACACUUCGCUCGAUAGUUUGAGGGCAUGAGUAGCUCCGUAUGAUGUAUUAUAACUUAUAUGUAUCACCGAUUAUGGUUUUCAUGUGACUCAGAAUUGAUUUUGAAGAAUGAUUCUCACUAGGAUGAUUCAAGUAGAAAGUGUUGGCCAAGCUUGACUAUUGAGUAUUUGACCUCGGAUCGGAGUUUUGAUGGUUCCGUUAGGUUAGGAUGGUUAUUUUAGACUUCGGUGUAUGCCCGGAUUUGCAUUUGGAUAUUUGUAGAAUGUUUCGGCACUAAUUAGAGAAAGUUGGCAAUUUGAAGGUUUGAAAUAUUCAUAAGUUUGACCGGGAGUUGACUUUGAUGAUAUUGGGUACGGAUUGUGGCUUUGAGAAUUGUAAUAGCUUCGUUAUUUCAGUUGGUAUUUGUGUACAAAAUUUGAGUUCAUUCCAAGUUGAUUUGAUAAGGUUCAGCACUAGUUUUGGAAGUUGAAAGAUUCAAAGUUUAUUAAGUACAAUUUGAGGUGCGGUUAGUGGUUUGAUGUUGUUAUACAUGAUUUGAGAUCUCGACUAAGUCUGUAAUAUGUUAUGGGACUUGUUGGUAUGUUCAUACGGGGUCCCGAGGGGCUCGGGUGAGUUUCGAAUGGGUUUGGUUGUGUUGCGCUCGUUUUUGAUGUUUCGACGUUGUUUCUUCAAGCAUAAAUAGUACCACAUUAAGAAAAUGAGCUCCAAUUUCUGUUUUAAUUGAAGCAUUAGAUCCGUAUCAUAAUUUUGGAACCAUAUCAACUGGAAUCAUCAAGUUUCGAUAUCGUAUGAGGAAUUUAUGGUCAUUUUACUAAGAAUUGGGUUACCAUAUUUUUUUUCAACAUAAUUACGAAAUUGCCAUUGAAUUCGUAUUUAAAAAUCUGCACUAUUUCUAAAUAUCUCCUUCAUUAUAAGGUCAAAUGGAGUGAUUCUAAAGCCUAACUUGACUUGAAUUUUACAAGAAAUUCAUUAGAGGCAUCAAAAGCGAGAUUCAGGAUCAUUUGGAACAAGAAACAAGGUAGAACAGCUGGGCAGAAACACAUAAUAUCGAGAGUUUGUUCAUUUGGUCAUAUUUUGAGUUGGGGAGCUCGGAUUUAGGCGAUUACGGAGGCGAUUUUUACCACAUGGAUUGGGGUAAGUGUUCUAUACUCAGAUUUGGUUAUAUUUCAUGAAUCCAUCUUCGGUUUUGGCAUUUGAUUUAUGAUUUCAAAGUGAAAUUUGAGGGGGUUUAUCUAAAAUUUCAUAAAGUACUUUUUUGCGUUUUGAACAUUGAUUCGGAGUCGGAUUUGAGUGAAAUUAGUAUGGUUGGACUCAUAAUUGAAUGGGUUAUUGGAUUUUGUAAGUUUUGUUGGGUUCCGAGAUACGAGCCCAAGUUUGACCUUUUGGUUGACUUUGGGGCUUUUGAUUAAAGAUUUUACCUUUAUCGAUUGGGUUUGUUUCCUUUGGCAUUAUUUGAUGUUCUUGAGUUGAUUUUGGCUAGUUCCGAGCCGUUCAGUGGUCGGUACGUGCGGGAUGGCAUUUCUAGAGUAUUGUUUGGCUUGCUCGGUAUUGGAUUUGGCAUGUUCGAGGUAAGUAACACUUCUAAACUUGGUGUUGAGGGUAUUAACCCCAAAUAUAUGCGUUAUGUGUUUGGUGUUGAGGUGACGCACAUGCUAGGUGACAGGCGUGAGGGCGUGCACCAUGUGAAUUAUGAUUCGAUUGAUUAUGUGGUACUGUGUAGUGACCUAAUCUUGUUUCUAUCCAUGAAAUUUCUACGUGCUAGAGUAAUUGAAUUGUGAUCCAUGUUAGAAAUCAUGUUUAGGCUAUAUUCUUAUCCUGUUGCAACCCGCUGAGGUCAUUUCUGUUGUUGAGUUAUUUUCUUAAAUUGCAAUAACAUAGUCAGUCAUUCUCAUUCAUUACAUAUCAUAUUUGAGUCUCUUAUAUCAUUUGUAUCAUAUUAUAUUAUCAUUGUUUGGGCCGAUUGGCAUGAGAUUUGUGAGGCCGAGAGAUUAGAGAUAUUGAUGACUUAGUGAGGCCGAGGGCCUGAUUGUGAGGAUGUUUAAGGGAUCGGGCUGCACGUCACAACAUACUUUAUUGAUUUAUGCCAUAAUUGGCUUAUAUUAACACUUGGGCAGGAUAUGCCCCUCCAGAAUCUGCACACCCACAGUGAGCGCAGGUACCUACUGAGUGCGAGUGUCGUGUGCGAGUGCGAGUGCAAGUGCAAGUGCCGAGCGCGAGUGCCGAGUGAUUGGGAGGACUGAGUGACUGAUAAUCUGAGAGUAUGCAUAUGAUUUUAUCAUUGUGUUGCAUUGCAUUCGACAUGUACACUUGACAUACAUGCAUAGAGAUGCAUUUUCCUCAUGUUGUACGGUAUUGUUUCAUUCAUGACUUCACAUAUACAUUGACAUGUAGGUAUAGAGAUGUAAUUUCCUCAUGCCAUUUGAUAAUGAAACAUCUUACCUAAUGUUGGAAGUUUUGGGAAAAAUCACAGUUUGUUUUUCCAGAUUUACUCAUAUUUUGGUGAUUUCAGUAAAAGAUUCGGGUUUUCACUAAUAUACUUGAAAGGCAUGCCUAUUUUCCGGAACUGUGAAUGAGCUGAGCAUCAUAUCUCUGAGUUAUUUCUUUUAUCACCUUUAUUAUAUUAUUAUGAACUGUUGUUGGCUAUUGGUGUUGGACUCCGACCUUUGUCCCAGCUCAUUACUACUUUCAACAUAAGGAGGGGUUUGUUACUUAUUGAGUACAUGGGGCCGGUUGUACUCAUACUACACUUCUGCACCUUGCGUGCAGAUUUUGGAGCUGAUAUUACUGCUUAUGGCGGGAGUUAGUUUUGAAGAUAUACCUACAUUCUGGUUGUAGCUGCCACUUAUUGAUGGUAGCUUUAGAUUUAUAAAGAAUCUGUUUAUGUACAUUUCAAAUAAAUGAUGUAUUUAUUUCAUACUAAUUUUGUAAACUCUAAAUCUUAGAAGCCCGUGAUUUGUACUACCAAUCCUUGGAAUUGUUUUGUAUAAAAGUUCAGUUGUAUUAUCAUUACUUCUGUUAGAAAAUCGCAUUUGAAUUGAAAGGUUGCUAAUUGGCUUAACUAGCAGUUGGGGGUUAGGUGCCAUCACGGCUAGUUGGAUUUUGGGUCGUGACAAGUUGGUAUAAGAGCUCUCGGUUCAAAUGUUCUACGAGUCAUAAGAAAGUAUCUAGUAGAGUCUUGCGGAUCGGUAUGAUGACGUUCAUGCCUAUCUUCGAGAGGCUAUUGGAUAAACUUCCCGUCUUUCUUUCCUUAUCGUGCGGCAUUGAUUAAGCUUGAAGCGUAUCUCUUUGAAUUUCUUUCCACUCACUCGUAUGCGUAUGUGAGAGCUCGAUAUCAGUUGUACAUCGACCGCUUGUGGAUUCCAUGGAUGAGGUGCGGGAUGUGUUUUUGUGCUUUGGUGAUGGCUAGUUUGGAUGACUUGAGUCCCGGUUUGGACCGCAACUUAGGCUCGGUAGUUUCAGUUGUGAGAGCUUUGUGCUUUUGGACUUCUAUGUCCAGUGGUGUCCCUAUGAGUGGGAUUGGUGGCUCGGUGAGUGCUUGGAUGGCUAUAUGAUGAGUAGGAUGUGACUGCGGGAUGUGUUCAGAUGGUUUGAAUGUGACGGAAAAAGUUUGCUUGAGAUGUGAAAAGCACUAUUGGAUGCACAAUUUCUAUGAAUGUGUCAUACAGUCUUUCUUUUGUAAAAAGGACUAUUGGAUGCACGAUUUCUACGAAUGUGUCAUGAAGUCUUGAGUCUGCAUCAACAGUUCACGUCCCCAAUUCUCCAAUCCACCAGCCUUCCCUUUUCCUUCAUCCACAAAAUUGAUAGCUUCGGAAAAAUCUCUUUCCAAUUCACUUCAGAAAGAGAAAAUGACAAGAGUGAGUGAAAAGAGAAAAAUACACAAAUCCUGAAGAAUCCCAUAAAUUCAAACAUGAGAGGUUUUUGAAUAUAGAAGACGUAAAAAAAAUUAGAUGAACCCGGGUGUUCUCAAUACAAACUAAAAUGAAAUUAAAAAAUAAUAAUAAUAAACAUAAUCGCAAAUUACAACUAUAGAGAGAAUCGCAAGCAACAAUAGAAGAAAUCAUCGGAUUAAACAUUGGAUAUUUGUUAAAUUCAGUAGUUUCAUGGAUAGAAAGAAACUUAGUUAAAUUCAUGAAAGUUGAUAAUGUAGUCAUUUGUAGAUAUGGAUAGACUAUUUCAUGACAUUCGAACAUAGAAAAACAGUUAUGUAUAACCAGACUAAAAACAACAUAUAUAACAAACUGACAAGAAUAAAAACUCAAUAUAUGAAAUCUAUAUACUUAAGGUCAAGAGUUCUAAUUCACAAACAAUUUGAAAUUUGGACAGUACAAACAUGGCAUGGCAGAGCAAAAUCAAAAGUAAAUACGAAAGUACUCUAAAAAAAGGUUAUAGUAAAUAGUAGUAAUAGUAGUGCUAAUACUAAAUAUCAAAACCAUAAGACAAACCCCAAAUAAGAAAAUAUAAGCGGGAUCCAAAUUCUUACUAAUUGUUUUACAAAUUUUGAAACAAACACCAUAGGAAUUUACCAAAGCAGAGGAAAAUUAGAAGAACCAACAAUUGGUAUACUUUCAUAGCCUGCAGAAAUGUUGUUUUCAUGUCACCUCGGUAGAGAAAAAGAAUGAUAUCAAUCCAAUUUCACAAAACAAUUUCACACAAAAAAGUAGCAAAAAGCAAGCUAAGCACAGAUCCGAAAACUACAGACAUAGCAAAUGAAACCCUAGAUCUACAUGAAUAAAUAAGCUAAGUAUAGAUUCAACAAUUACAUAGACAAAGCAAAUGAAACCCUAGAUCUACAAUCUGCAUUAAUAAAUAAGCAGUAACUAAAUAGCGAAAAUGAGAGAAAAAUUGAAAGGACCUCGGUGAAUUUUGUUUGUAGAUUGAGGUUGAAGAACACCUCGGAAGCUUUAUUGGAGACCAACGGCUUCCAAUCGAGAUCCUUGGUGAGACGAGGGAGUCGCAAGCUACGGCGACUGGCGAUCUCCCCCAUAUCGAUAAGAGGGAGAGAGAGAGAGAGAGAGGAAAUUGCAAGACUAAGGUUUAUUUGGGAGGAGUGAGGGUGUUCUAAUUUUUGGUCUAAGCGGCAGAGGGAGUCUAAAAAUUUGUUGAGAGAAAUUUUUUGGUCUGAACAAGUUGACGAAAAUACUUUUAAAAUAAUAAUUAAACAUAGUGGCGGUUGCAGCGAUUAGCAACCACCGUGAUAAACCUCAACCGUC